rnacentral:rRNA from 1 species
AUACGUAGGGGGCGAGCGUUGUCCGGAAUGAUUGGGCGUAAAGGGCGCGUAGGCGGCCCGGUAAGUCUGGAGUGAAAGUCCUGUUUUUAAGAUGGGAAUUGCUUUGGAUACUGUCGGGCUUGAGUGCAGGAGAGGUAAGUGGAAUUCCCAGUGUAGCGGUGAAAUGCGUAGAGAUUGGGAGGAACACCAGUGGCGAAGGCGACUUACUGGACUGUAACUGACGCUGAGGCGCGAAAGUGUGGGGAGCAAACAGGAUUAGAUACCCGGGUAGUCCACACUGUAAACGAUGAAUGCUAGGUGUAGGGGGUAUCGACCCCUCCUGUGCCGCAGUCAACACAAUAAGCAUUCCGCCUGGGGAGUACGGCCGCAAGGUUGAAACUCAAAUGAAUGGACGGGG